GGGUGAGUAAUACAUCGGAACGUGUCGAGAAGAGGGGGAUAACCACCCGAAAGGGUGGCUAAUACCGCAUAAAUUCUGAGGAAGAAAGCUGGGGACCUAGGAAUAGGCCUAGCGCUUUUUGAGCGGCCGAUGUCGGAUUAGCUAGUUGGUGAGGUAAAGGCUCACCAAGGCGAAGAUCUGUAGCGGGUCUGAGAGGAUGAUCCGCCACACUGGGACUGAGACACGGCCCAG
rnacentral:rRNA from 1 species